CUGCUCCACCAACCAUUGUUUUCUAUCCAUUUCUGAAAUCUAGCAACAGGAUCUCGUGCCAAUCUCCACCGUUCAAUCUCAUCAACUGAACGAUACUUUGUGGAAUCAUCUGAUGUGGUGUGAUGUCCUACUCGAUAUGUUAGAGCCUCAACUAAGAUUGGUCUGUGUUCACUGAUUGCCAUUUGCCGAGCAGCAUAAACUGCACUAUACAUGGCAAGAGCAUCGUUACCAUCUACACGAAUACUUCGUACUCCAUAAGCCUGCCCUCUAACAACAACGCCAUCACUUCGAAACUGGUCCAAAAUAGGGGUGCUAAUAGCCCAUCCAUUGUUUCGACAGAUAAAUAUAACUGGUGCCUCCAUGACCGCCGCAAAAUUUAAAGCAGCAUGAAAAUCUCCCUCACUUGAGCCACCAUCACCAAAAUAAGUGACUACACAAGAAUCUUUGCCUUCCAUCUUUAGAGAAUAUGCCGCACCGACUGCAUGGGGAAGCUGUGAAGCAAUUGUUGAUGCCACAGUAAAGUAAUUGUGUUUUUUUGACCCAUAAUGGGCAGGCAUCUGCCUGCCUUUGCAACUAUCACCUCUGUUACUAAAACAUUGGUCCGCAAAUUCUUGAAGGGUGAAACCACGCCAUAAAAGAACUCCUGGCUCUCUAUACUGAGGGACGACAAGAUCAUCAAUUGUGAGAGCUGCUGCUGAUGCAAUAUUGAUGGCCUCUUCUCCAAUUGCAGUCACAUAGAAUGAAAUUCUUCCUUGCCUCUGUGCUUCAUAGAAGAUAGUGUCCAUAGUUUGAAGUGUCACCAUAUCGCUGUAAAUUUUUCUAGCAAUUUCACUGCUGACCCCUACAAAGUUACUGUCCUCAAUUAGCUGGCCAUUGUCAUCAAGGACACGAUAGCAGGGAAUCCGCUCCUUAAGAGAUUCAGAUAAAAACUUCAUUUCAGGAGUGAAUGCAACCUUUCCUCCAGGGAAAUCCAAAACCUGAUUGCUGUCAAUGCUGCUAUACUGCGAACCCAACCGUCCACUAUCGGCUUUGGUGGACUCAAAACGGCAGGUCGCUAUUUUGCUAAAAUUUGCAUCUGGGUUCUUGAAAUCUCGAACAGGUGGAGUUAAAGCUAGAAACUUACCAAUAUGGGUAGAAGAAGAAAAUGAAGCACUAUGGUUUGUAACACUCAAAAGACCCAUCCUCGAUUUAACAUGGUUAGCAAUGUUUCUCAUACGCAUAGCCAUGAAAACAAGACGGAAACAGACGGAAACAGAGGUUUUUGCUGAGUUUCUAUUCCCUAGAGAAGAGAAGGGUUUGCUUUGUUAAGCAAAUUGAUUGGGCACAGCUUCCUAAGGCGAUGCAACUGG
rnacentral:misc_RNA from 1 species